GGCGAGAACACGCAGGGUAUCUCCAUGAAUCGUGUGGACUUCGCGCCCGGGGGCACCAACCCACCGCACAUCCAUCCGCGCGCCACGGAGAUUGGCCUCGUGGUGAAAGGCAAGCUCCUUGUGGGGAUCAUCGACAGCAACGAGUCCGGGAACAAGCUCCACUCCAGGGUGGUGCACGCCGGGGAGAACUUCUUCAUCCCGCGCGGCCUCAUGCACUUCCAGUUCAACGUCGGUAAGACGGAGGCCUCCAUGGUCGUCUCCUUCAACAGCCAGAACCCCGGCAUCGUCUUCGUGCCGCUCACGCUCUUCGGCUCCGACCCGCCCAUCCCCACGCCGGUGCUCACCAGGCUCCGGGUGGACGUCGAGGUGGUCGAACUUCUCAAGUCCAGGUUCACUGGUGGGUCUUUCCAGGCCUCCUAA
rnacentral:rRNA from 1 species